rnacentral:rRNA from 1 species
GAUGAACGCUAGCGGCAGGCUUAACACAUGCAAGUCGAGGGGUAACAGGAGAGCUUGCUCUUGCUGACGACCGGCGCACGGGUGCGUAACGCGUAUACAAUCUACCUUAUACAGAGGAAUAGCCCAGAGAAAUUUGGAUUAAUGCCUCAUGGUACUUAGAAGUGGCAUCACUUUUAUUUUAAAGAUUUAUCGGUAUAAGAUGAGUAUGCGUCCUAUUAGCUAGAUGGUGAGGUAACGGCUUACCAUGGCUACGAUAGGUAGGGGUCCUGAGAGGGAGAUCCCCCACACUGGUACUGAGACACGGACCAGACUCCUACGGGAGGCAGCAGUGAGGAAUAUUGGACAAUGGAGGCAACUCUGAUCCAGCCAUGCCGCGUGUAGGAAGACUGCCCUAUGGGUUGUAAACUACUUUUAUAUGGGAAGAAUAAGGAUCUCGUGAGGUCUGAUGACGGUACCAUAAGAAUAAGCACCGGCUAACUCCG